AGCUUACAGAAAGAUUGCUUAUGAAUAUUAUUUUUAUAAAAGAGUAGAAUUUUAGAGUAGGGUAGACCGGUUAAAUUUGAUCAUUGUACUGAAAAGGAAAAUUGAAAGAAGAUUAAAAUUAUAAAGAAGAAAUAAAUUUAUGUACCUUUUGUAUCAGGGUUUAUUAAAAAUAAGAAGAUUAUUCUGUUCUCGAUUUAAGGAGAGCUACUUCUGUAAAUUCAUUAAAGUGGCAAAUUUAUAUAAAAUACAGAAUUAGGAGUGAAAUGCUAGUCGAUCUUUAAGGUAUCUAGUUUCCUAAGAAAUAAAUUUAAUUUAGGGUUAAAAGUGAUGUCGGUUAAACGAUGUGAAGCUAUUUUAACCCCGAAACUCUAGGGGAUAAGCUCUAGAGGAUUUUUAUAAAUUUAAUUAUAGAGUAAUUGUAGGCUUAGAAUUAGCCAUCAGGAUGAUGUUAUAAACCACCCUCAAAAUUUAUAAUUUUUAUUAUUUUAAAUAUUUAUUAGGAUAAUUUUAUAAAUGUUAAUUAAGAUCAAAUAAUGAUAAAAUUAGUAUGUGAGCAUAUUCUUGCUAAGGAAUUCGGCAAAUCUGUGUUCGCCUGUUUAUCAAAAACAUCGCCUUUAGUUUAAAUGAAAGGUCUCACCUGCCCACUGAAUAUUAAAGGGCCGCGGUAUUUUGACCGUGCAAAGGUAGCAUAAUCAUUAGUCUUUUAAUUGAAGACUGGAAUGAAAGGUAGGACGAGGCACAAUCUGUCUCUGUAGGAAUAGCAGAAUUUAUCUUUUUAGUGAAAAGACUAAAAUAAGGUUAGAGGACGAGAAGACCCUAUAGAACUUUAUAAGUUAUGGAUAUACCUUUUAGAAAAUUACAGAGGUUUUAUUUAAACCUUAUUUCGUUGGGGUGAUGGAGUAAUAACAUAACUUACUUUAAAUUUAACAUUAAUAUAUGAUUUUAUGAACCAUAAAUAAUGAAUAAAAGAUUAAGUUACCUUAGGGAUAACAGCGUAAUCUUCUUUGAGAGCUCAUAUCGAUAAGAAGGGUUGCGACCUCGAUGUUGGAUUAAAGAUAAUCUUAGGUGCAGAAGCUUAAGGUUUGGGUCUGUUCGACCCAUAAAACUUUACAUGAUCUGAGUUCAGACCGGCGUAAGCCAGGUCGGUUUCUAUCCUUAAUAAAGAAAAAUAUUUUAGUACGAAAGGACCAAAUAUUGGAGAUUAUCUUUAAACAAAGAAUAUU
rnacentral:rRNA from 1 species